rnacentral:rRNA from 1 species
GGGUUGUGAGGUUAAGCGACUAAGCGUACACGGUGGAUGCCCUGGCAGUCAGAGGCGAUGAAGGACGUGCUAAUCUGCGAAAAGCGUCGGUAAGGUGAUAUGAACCGUUACAGCCGGCGAUGUCCGAAUGGGGAAACCCAGUGCAAUUCGUUGCACUAUCGUUAACUGAAUACAUAGGUUAACGAGGCGAACCGGGGGAACUGAAACAUCUAAGUACCCCGAGGAAAAGAAAUCAACCGAGAUUCCCCCAGUAGCGGCGAGCGAACGGGGAGCAGCCCAGAGUCUGAAUCAGCUUGUGUGUUAGUGGAACGGUCUGGAAAGUCCGACGGUACAGGGUGAUAGUCCCGUACACCAAAAUGCACAGGCUGUGAACUCGAAGAGUAGGGCGGGACACGUGGUAUCCUGUCUGAAUAUGGGGGGACCAUCCUCCAAGGCUAAAUACUCCUGACUGACCGAUAGUGAACCAGUACCGUGAGGGAAAGGCGAAAAGAACCCCGGCGAGGGGAGUGAAAAAGAACCUGAAACCGUGUACGUACAAGCAGUGGGAGCACCUUCGGGUGUGACUGCGUACCUUUUGUAUAAUGGGUCAGCGACUUAUAUUCUGUAGCAAGGUUAACCGUAUAGGGGAGCCGCAGGGAAACCGAGUCUUAACUGGGCGUUAAGUUGCAGGGUAUAGACCCGAAACCCGGUGAUCUAGCCAUGGGCAGGUUGAAGGUUGGGUAACACUAACUGGAGGACCGAACCGACUAAUGUUGAAAAAUUAGCGGAUGACUUGUGGCUGGGGGUGAAAGGCCAAUCAAACCGGGAGAUAGCUGGUUCUCCCCGAAAGCUAUUUAGGUAGCGCCUCGUGAAUUCAUCUUCGGGGGUAGAGCACUGUUUCGGCUAGGGGGUCAUCCCGACUUACCAACCCGAUGCAAACUACGAAUACCGAAGAAUGUUAUCACGGGAGACACACGGCGGGUGCUAACGUCCGUCGUGAAGAGGGAAACAACCCAGACCGCCAGCUAAGGUCCCAAAGUCAUGGUUAAGUGGGAAACGAUGUGGGAAGGCACAGACAGCCAGGAUGUUGGCUUAGAAGCAGCCAUCAUUUAAAGAAAGCGUAAUAGCUCACUGGUCGAGUCGGCCUGCGCGGAAGAUGUAACGGGGCUAAACCAUGCACCGAAGCUGCGGCAGCGACACUAUGUGUUGUUGGGUAGGGGAGCGUUCUGUAAGCCUGCGAAGGUGACCUGUGAGGGUUGCUGGAGGUAUCAGAAGUGCGAAUGCUGACAUAAGUAACGAUAAAGCGGGUGAAAAGCCCGCUCGCCGGAAGACCAAGGGUUCCUGUCCAACGUUAAUCGGGGCAGGGUGAGUCGACCCCUAAGGCGAGGCCGAAAGGCGUAGUCGAUGGGAAACAGGUUAAUAUUCCUGUACUUGGUGUUACUGCGAAGGGGGGACGGAGAAGGCUAUGUUAGCCGGGCGACGGUUGUCCCGGUUUAAGCAUGUAGGCUGGUUAUCCAGGCAAAUCCGGAUAAUCAAGGCUGAGGUGUGAUGACGAGGCACUACGGUGCUGAAGUAACAAAUGCCCUGCUUCCAGGAAAAGCCUCUAAGCAUCAGGUAACAUCAAAUCGUACCCCAAACCGACACAGGUGGUCAGGUAGAGAAUACCAAGGCGCUUGAGAGAACUCGGGUGAAGGAACUAGGCAAAAUGGUGCCGUAACUUCGGGAGAAGGCACGCUGGUGUGUAGGUGAAGUCCCUGCGGAUGGAGCUGAGACCAGUCGAAGAUACCAGCUGGCUGCAACUGUUUAUUAAAAACACAGCACUGUGCAAACACGAAAGUGGACGUAUACGGUGUGACGCCUGCCCGGUGCCGGAAGGUUAAUUGAUGGGGUUAUCCGUAAGGAGAAGCUCUUGAUCGAAGCCCCGGUAAACGGCGGCCGUAACUAUAACGGUCCUAAGGUAGCGAAAUUCCUUGUCGGGUAAGUUCCGACCUGCACGAAUGGCGUAAUGAUGGCCAGGCUGUCUCCACCCGAGACUCAGUGAAAUUGAACUCGCUGUGAAGAUGCAGUGUACCCGCGGCAAGACGGAAAGACCCCGUGAACCUUUACUAUAGCUUGACACUGAACAUUGAGCCUUGAUGUGUAGGAUAGGUGGGAGGCUUUGAAGCGUGGACGCCAGUCUGCGUGGAGCCAACCUUGAAAUACCACCCUUUAAUGUUUGAUGUUCUAACGUUGGCCCCUUACCGGGGUUGCGGACAGUGUCUGGUGGGUAGUUUGACUGGGGCGGUCUCCUCCCAAAGCGUAACGGAGGAGCACGAAGGUUAGCUAAUCCUGGUCGGACAUCAGGAGGUUAGUGCAAUGGCAUAAGCUAGCUUGACUGCGAGCGUGACGGCGCGAGCAGGUGCGAAAGCAGGUCAUAGUGAUCCGGUGGUUCUGAAUGGAAGGGCCAUCGCUCAACGGAUAAAAGGUACUCCGGGGAUAACAGGCUGAUACCGCCCAAGAGUUCAUAUCGACGGCGGUGUUUGGCACCUCGAUGUCGGCUCAUCACAUCCUGGGGCUGAAGUAGGUCCCAAGGGUAUGGCUGUUCGCCAUUUAAAGUGGUACGCGAGCUGGGUUUAGAACGUCGUGAGACAGUUCGGUCCCUAUCUGCCGUGGGCGCUGGAGAAUUGAGGGGGGCUGCUCCUAGUACGAGAGGACCGGAGUGGACGCAUCACUGGUGUUCGGGUUGUCAUGCCAAUGGCACUGCCCGGUAGCUAAAUGCGGAAGAGAUAAGUGCUGAAAGCAUCUAAGCACGAAACUUGCCCCGAGAUGAGUUCUCCCUGAGACUUUAAGUCUCCUGAAGGAACGUUAAAGACGAUGACGUUGAUAGGCCGGGUGUGUAAGCGCAGCGAUGCGUUGAGCUA